GCACCUUGAGUGCCGCCUGAGAGAACCAGGACAUGGAGGCGCAGAGGCUGCUCUUCCUCUUGCUGGGGUCUCCUGGUCACCGAAACUCGACUGAAGGGUGUAUUUUUGGAUAUUUUUCAAAGGAUUAUAGCCAAGUAGUUCAUGGAGACACAAAAGAAAACCUAGGCUUCCAUUCCAAGUCAUGUUGAAGACUCCCCAUUUACAGGAAGAUUCGGAAUCACUACACCUGGGACGGCACCGGAACCUGCUCGCACCCCUGGGGCUUCUGAUGCCUGUGCGCUGAGGACUGGUGAGCAACGCUAGGAGGCAGCAGAGCAUUGUGGGAAGAAUGUGUGUUCUGCGAUCAGACUGUCUACUUUAAAAUCCUACUUCAGUCACUCAUUUGCUGUGCAAUGGAAGCUGUCUGUGCCUUAGAUUCUUCUGUAAAAAAAAAAAAAAAAAAAAAAAAGGUGGUAAUAAUAAUAUCAGCCUCAUUAGAUUGCAAUGAGAAUUAAGAGAGAACACAUUUAGGACACAGCACCAUGUCUGGCGCCUACUAUGUGCAGUCGUUGUUGUUGGUGGCAUGUGUGGUACUCUUGCAGCGCUGUUGUAGGGGGCUCUUUUUCAUAAAGAGUGAGGCUGUAGCCCAGAUCUAGAAUUUCAUGGGGUAGAAAUACAUCUAUUUUCAUUUCUGGAGUACUUUUCCUCCCAGGGGACUGGGCAAGCCUUGUACUAUGAAACAGCAUGUCAGGCUAAGGGAGAGGGUGAAGAAUAUGGAGGAGAAGAAAUGCAAGGAUUUUGGUUUGGGGUCAUAAGGAACUGACAAUUUGUCAAGCACACAACUCUAAAAGCAAAAGAUGUCUUCACUUAGAAACUUUGUCACAGGUAUGUACUAUUUGUAGUGAAUUAUUUCCUAUUUUAUGCAGUGUAAUGGAACUUUGAGUUUGUGAGAUUUAUUUUUAAAGUGUGCGGAAAAAUGCAGAAAAUUAUACCACUUCUCUUGUGUACUAUGUAAGUACAGAUAUGUUUAUAUUAGCAUUUCAGAAAAAAUGCACAAAACUCAUAAUUCAUGAAAGACAGUAAGCAGGUGAACGAACAGAUCUUGUAACUGGAAGGGACUUUACAAGUCUCUGAUCCAGGUCCAUAACUUUAUAUACAGGUGGUCUUUAUUAAUUACCAUUUUUACAACAAAAUAGUUGGGGUUAGUGAUAUUCCAACGUCACAUGGAAAAUAUUAGAGAUAUAACUAGAAUUUGAGUUUUCUGCAUGUUUUUGAGCUGGAUAAAUUGACAUGGGGAUCAGGAACUGGGAGUGUGUGGUGGGACAAAACAGACCUUGAAGUAGAACCACAAGCAUACUUGAAGGAUCUGGGAAAGCUCUCAUUCCUGUCCAUUGUACUUUUCAGUGAGUGAGGUCUGAUGUCUGUUCGGUGAAGGAAGGCUCGCUGGUCAUCUUCAGUUUCCAUAAGGAGCAUCAUGUGGGUAAAUCAUCAUUGUCUGAAGUUUUAUUGGUAUAGAAACCUGACAUGUGGGUACAUUGAGAAUGGAAUCAUCUCUCACAGGCACAUUAGCAUGGACCAGACUCAGAACAAUGCCAAAUAAAGCUAUUUACUAAUUUAUACUGAGAAACUUAACCAUCAAUGAGACAGGCACUACAUUCUCCCAUCAGCACAUUCCCACCCUAUAUAAGGAUGUUGAGCAUGGAAGGAAGGACAUGGUGAUUUAGGAUGAUUUUAAUGGAUAUGUCAUGGAGCCUUGAUAUGAUGGAUGCACGCAUCUCCAUCCACACAGACACCUGGUGCACUGAGCAGAGUGGCCUGGGGUACUGUGUCCGGGGCUGGUGAUAUAGAUCGGCUGCCAAAUCAGCCUGACUUUCCAUUUCCUGUGUUUUCAAACUUGACUCAACUCUUUCCCACAAUGAGCUGUUAUUUCUAUAAAUAUGUUAUUACCUUCCUGCAGUCAAUUUGCAGCGGAGUCUUGGCUUGGGGACCUGCCUUUUUUAAAGGUGUCUUUGCAUCUCUUUAAUCUGUUAUAUGCAUGCUUUUUACAAGUGUGAUUCUCAGAUAGAAAUUUUAUAUAUUUCCUCAUUUCCAGAAUUUUUUUCAGGGCAACUUUAUGACUGACUCCAUGUACUGCCUACCAUUUCAGAAAGACCUGACUCAAAUUUUUUUCCUUGAAAUGUCCUUAAACAUAUACGUCAAAAAUAUAAUGUGUUCCUGAUACUUGUGUCCAAAUAGAUAUAAGUUCUAAACGGGGUAAAAGAGCUAAUAAAUGUUAGAUGUCCUCAAAUAUGAUGUGAUUUACUAUGUGCCAAGAUGGAAAUACAUCCAUGAAUAUACUGCUAUUUACAGCACAAUAAUGGAGAAACUCCAGGUUAUGAAUCAAACAGGGCGUUGGAGAUUCUAAAAAUGAGUCCAUUGUACUAUCAAAUCCUACAGGAGUAACUUGGAUUUUUUUCCUGAAGACUUAUUCCUUUGAAUAAUCAUGAUGAGCAUUGUAGAUGUGGUGAAACUUAGCUGUAAACAUGUCUCCUGAUGAAAGCAAAAAAAAAGUGCAUUUAACAAACUAAAGCGUUUAUUUAAAAUUGUGAGAUGUCUGUUUAACAUUCAUUUAUAGUUUUGUUAUAAAAUUGACUUUUCCUGGUGGGAGAAUAGCCUGUUUUAUAUCCACAAACACCAAACUACACGUUAGUGGGGUUCCUAAGCAAAGCUGGCUUCCCCCAUUCCCACCCUCGCCCCCGGGGCUGGGGUGAGAGGCAGGAGGAAAGUGGAAUCUGAGUUCUGCUGGCUGAAGAAAAGAGUCUUCUUGGUGUCGGAAAAGCUGCUGGCCUCUGAUGCCCACGUGGCCCUGACAUAUCUAAAACUUUUUUUGGAAAGACUUGAGCAUAGAAAGCUAAUGAAGUUAGAAAUAAAGUUUCUAUCGUAGAAUAGCUUAAUAGCUGCUUCCAGGGUUGACUUUGUCAGUUUUAGGAAACUGUAUGGCACAAAGGAUGUUUGGUAAGGGGAAAUCGUGAUCGGAGAAAAGCAGCCGUGGGCGUCUCACUCUGCUGAGGGUUUGGUUCUCUAAUAACCAAAUGCCUUUCCUCUGGAUUUAAUGAUUUGUGCACACAAUAAGUUUAAGGACGAUGCUAGGCUCAGUUUUAAAACAACUCACAUUAGUUGUGGCUAUUAAAAAAAUCAAUCACAGUUUUCGCCAGAGAAGGGAGAUAGUUCUGUCUGAUUUUUCAGGUUGGUUGAUUGCUCAAGUAUCCUCUUUCAUAAAUGCAUUCUUCCUCAUUUUCAGACCAGUUUGUGGUUGUGCAAAAAUGAGAUAGUGGUCCUCUUUCAUGCCAGCAGAGAUGUGGUUCUGUGGUAUGUUACACAAACUCUUCAAGAUCACUUAUGUUUAUGUACACAUGUACAUAUUUUGUCUACUAUGAAAUAUUUAGAUUUUAAGUUUUAAAAGCUUUCUCAUUGUACCAUGCAAUUUUUUCAUGUGUUUCAUAUAAAUCACAAGUUUGAAUGCUUUAUAGUCACAAAAUAAGAAGGCUUUAUAGUUUCAAAAUAAGUAUAUGAAAACACAGUGGCAUGAAGUUACAUGGUAUGCUGGGUGGAGAGGAAGCAACUAUUCAUGAGACCAAACCCACAAACAUGCAGGAGACAGCAAUAAAGAGGCCAAGGACAGGGAUGUUUUGAAAAUAUACUCAAAACAAGAUGAAAGAAGAUCUUUGGACCUUUGAAAAUGCCCUGGAAAGUGAAUGAAAACAACUGCCUUCACUCUUUUAUCAGAGCUCUGACUCAAACCUGCUGCUAGAAGGACCUUGCUGAGUUGAAACACAUAUUUUUAAAAAACUACAUAUAUUCUUUUAAGUGGCUUAAGUUAUUUUAUGUGCAAAUUUCUUUGAAGGACCCUAGGCGCAGUUGUGUAUAUGCACAAUGUAAGUACGUUAGGUGGCCCACCGUGAGUCUUCACCUCCCAGAAGGCUCGGAGGGGUAUCCCAUUUCUUUUCUCACAAUUGCUGGGUGCACCUAUGGUCCAGAGGAACUUGGGCAACUCGGAAACUCGAGCUUAGCAAGAAGAUGUCAAAACGAGGGCCACAAAGCCAUAUUUCCUCAGGGCAGCUUUCCCUGAACACUCCCCCCUCCCACCCCAGUUAAGCUAGGUCUCUCUGUUACAAGUUCUCCCAACAACAUACAAUUCUUUUCUAGCACUCAGCAGUUUGUGAUUGUAUCUUCAUUUUGUGAUUACUUGGAUAUGCCUCCCCACUAGACAGUAAGGUCUAUGAGGGGGAGGCAUUGUGUUUAUUUUGCUUUCUAUUCCAUUUAGUCCAGUGCCUGGAGUAUUG
ensembl:lncRNA